GUUAUAUGGUCAAGCGAAUAAGCGCACACGGUGGAUGCCUUGGCGGUCAGAGGCGAUGAAGGACGUGGCAGCCUGCGAAAAGUAUCGGGGAGCUGGCAACAAGCUUUGAUCCGGUAAUGUCCGAAUGGGGAAACCCACCCGCUUGCGGGUAUCCUGCAGUGAAUACAUAGCUGCUGGAAGCGAACCUGGUGAACUGAAAUAUCUAAGUAACCAGAGGAAAAGAAAUCAACCGAGAUUCCGUAAGUAGCGACGAGCGAACGCGGACUAGCCCUUAAGCUGAUUUGGUUCUAGGAAAACGCUCUGGAAAGAGUGGCCAUAGAAGGUGAUAGCCCUGUAUCUGAAAGGGCCAUUUCAGUGAAGACGAGUAGGGCGGGGCACGUGAAACCCUGUCUGAACAUGGGGGGACCAUCCUCCAAGGCUAAAUACUACUGACCGACCGAUAGUGAACCAGUACCGUGAGGGAAAGGCGAAAAGAACCCCGGAGAGGGGAGUGAAAUAGAACCUGAAACCGUGUGCGUACAAGCAGUAGGAGCUCCGCAAGGAGUGACUGCGUACCUUUUGUAUAAUGGGUCAGCGACUUACUGUUCGUGGCAAGCUUAACCGUAUAGGGGAGGCGAAGGGAAACCGAGUCUGAUAAGGGCGCAUAGUCGCGGGCAGUAGACCCGAAACCGGGUGAUCUAGUCAUGCCCAGGGUGAAGGUGCGGUAACACGCACUGGAGGCCCGAACCCACUCCCGUUGCAAAGGUAGGGGAUGAGGUGUGAUUAGGAGUGAAAAGCUAAUCGAACCCGGAGAUAGCUGGUUCUCCUCGAAAGCUAUUUAGGUAGCGCCUCAUAUGUAUCCUCUCGGGGGUAGAGCACUGUUAUGGCUAGGGGGUCAUCGCGACUUACCAAACCAUUGCAAACUCCGAAUACCGAGACGGACUGUAUGGGAGACACACGGCGGGUGCUAACGUCCGUCGUGAAAAGGGAAACAACCCAGACCCACAGCUAAGGUCCCAAAUUUUGUGCUAAGUGGAAAACCAUGUGGAAAGGCACAGACAGCCAGGAGGUUGGCUUAGAAGCAGCCACCCUUUAAAGAAAGCGUAAUAGCUCACUGGUCGAGUCGGUCUGCGGGGAAGAUUUAACGGGGCUAAGCACAGAACCGAAGCUUGGGGUGCAUACUUUGUAUGCGCGGUAGAGGAGCGUUCCGUAAGCCGUUGAAGGUGGAUUGAGAAGUCUGCUGGAGGUAUCGGAAGUGCGAAUGCUGACAUGAGUAACGAUAAUGCGGGUGAAAAACCCGCACGCCGAAAGCCCAAGGUUUCCUUGCGCAACGUUAAUCGGCGCAGGGUGAGUCGGCCCCUAAGGCGAGGACGAAAGUCGUAGUCGAUGGGAAGCAGGUUAAUAUUCCUGCACCUCGCGUAAGUGCGAUGGAGGGACGGAGAAGGUUAGGUGUACCAGGCGUUGGUUGUCCUGGGGAAAGGCGGUAGGUUUGGAUCUUUGGCAAAUCCGGGAUCCUUUAAGACCGAGCACCGAGACGAGCCUUUAUGGCAAAGUCACUGAUACCACGCUUCCAGGAAAAGCUCCUAAGCUUCAGCUUACGCAGACCGUACCGUAAACCGACACAGGUGGGUAGGAUGAGAAUUCUCAGGCGCUUGAGAGAACUCGGGUGAAGGAACUAGGCAACAUGGCACCGUAACUUCGGGAGAAGGUGCACCCUUUUUGGUGGCUCGUGCGAGCUAUAGCUGAAGAGGGUCGCAGUAACCAGGCCGCUGCGACUGUUUAUCAAAAACACAGCACUCUGCAAACACGAAAGUGGACGUAUAGGGUGUGACGCCUGCCCGGUGCUGGAAGGUUAAUUGAUGGGGUCAGCCGCAAGGCGAAGCUCUUGAUCGAAGCCCCAGUAAACGGCGGCCGUAACUAUAACGGUCCUAAGGUAGCGAAAUUCCUUGUCGGGUAAGUUCCGACCUGCACGAAUGGCGUAACGACAGCGGCGCUGUCUCCACCCGAGACUCAGUGAAAUUGAAAUCGCUGUGAAGAUGCAGCGUUCCCGUGGCAAGACGGAAAGACCCCGUGAACCUUUACUAUAGCUUUACACUGAACGUUGAGUUCGUCUGUGUAGGAUAGGUGGGAGGCUAUGAAACCAUGGCGCUAGCUGUGGUGGAGCCAUCCUUGAAAUACCACCCUGUCGUGCUUGACGUUCUAACCUGGGCCCAUUAUCUGGGUCGGGGACCGUGUAUGGUGGGUAGUUUGACUGGGGCGGUCUCCUCCUAAAGAGUAACGGAGGAGCUCGAAGGUACGCUCAGCGCGGUCGGACAUCGCGCACUGUGUGCAAAGGCAUAAGCGUGCUUGACUGCAAGAUCGACGGAUCAAGCAGGUAGGAAACUAGGACUUAGUGAUCCGGUGGUUCUGUAUGGAAGGGCCAUCGCUCAACGGAUAAAAGGUACUCCGGGGAUAACAGGCUGAUACCGCCCAAGAGUUCAUAUCGACGGCGGUGUUUGGCACCUCGAUGUCGGCUCAUCACAUCCUGGGGCUGUAGUCGGUCCCAAGGGUAUGGCUGUUCGCCAUUUAAAGUGGUACGCGAGCUGGGUUCAGAACGUCGUGAGACAGUUCGGUCCCUAUCUGCCAUGGGCGUUGGAGAUUUGAGAGGGGCUGCUCCUAGUACGAGAGGACCGGAGUGGACGAACCUCUGGUGUUCCGGUUGUCACGCCAGUGGCAUUGCCGGGUAGCUAUGUUCGGAAGCGAUAACCGCUGAAAGCAUCUAAGCGGGAAGCGCGCCUCAAGAUGAGAUCUCCCGGGGCACAAGCCCCCUGAAGGAACCAUGUAGACUACGUGGUUGAUAGGUCAGGUGUGUAAGUACAGCAAUGUAUUGAGCUAACUGAUACUAAUGAUCCGUGCGGCUUGACCAUAUAACCU
rnacentral:rRNA from 1 species